AAUUAAGAAAGAAAGGCUACCUGUGAUUAUUUCUUCAGUAUUUGCUUUCUAACUCUAUAAAUUGGCAGCAAUUGGUCUUUUGGGAUGAUAAAGCAGGAGGCUGCUCAGAUUUCGGAGGAAGAAAUUUAUGAUUUUGGUACAUGAGGUGUACGUGGCUUUGAUGCAUGAAUCACAUCAGGGCUGCUAUUUCAUUUAAAGGGCAAUCCUUUUAAAAGCAAUUUUUUGUAUAUCAACAGGAAUCCUGGGAUCGAUCCAAAAGUACUGAGUUUAUUCAGGAAGUGGAAAUAAGAAGAAAGGAUUUGAGCUCCAUUUUCAUUUUGGGAUUACAGAUGGGCAUUAGUUAUAUUUAAAGAAGUUACUGAUCCUUCUCUUCUGCUUCCCUCACUCUUCCCACACAAUUUUUGGGCUUCUCUUCAUUAAGGUGCCGUCACGUCCACCAUUCAGACUUUUUUUGGUCUUUCUUAUCGCCAAUGUGCUGACAUGCAAAUCCUCCUCCCCCCUCUUUGUUCCCUUCAGUCUUUUCAAAUCAGAAAGUUUGAGCAGCCAAGAACUUUGCAGAAACAUGAAUAAACUGUUCCAAUCUUGUUCCAAUCUUCCCACUAUCAAAUAAUUUUCAAAGAGUCUGAGAAUGAAGGGGAAUGGAAGAAAAUGUUCAGCUGAAGGAGAUAUUUGGUCCUGUUUGCUGAGUGAAAGGCAAAGGCACAGAACACAAUGUUUCUGGGUUUAAGAAAAUAUAUUUAAUUUGAUAUUUUUGCAUUUCCAGAGUUAGUUCACAGCAACUAACCUACUAAAGGGAGGCAAAAAUAUAGAAUUAAAUCAUCCCCAUUCUUCCCAAAAAACUUCCUCUUGAGUCAUAGCUGUGAGUGGGCAUAACUAGAAGCAUCAUCAUUUGGAGUGGGCAAGCAGCUUUAAUUAAAUAUUAUCACGCUGGAGUGCUAGAUUUUGUUAUUCAUGCAGCUUGAUAUAAUGCAUUUCCAUUUUGCCUGUAAAAUAAUAAAGUGCACACAAAAAUAGAGGAAGGGAACAUUGAAGGCUAUGAACCGAGCCAAUUAAAACCAAAGUGAGAAAAUUCCAACAUUUGAAAAACUAGCAAGUACUUUUAAGCUUUAAAAUGCACUCUCUGUGCUGACUAAUUAUGCCCGAUCAUGAUUCCUUAAUAGGACAGGGAAAUUCACUGUGAAUCUAGGGCACCUUAAGCACCAUUAUAUGUGUUGUGCUAUCCAUGUCCUGUUACUUUUGGAUUUUGUUUGCAGAUCAAGACACUGGAAGGAAACAAGAGGAAUGAACUUUUACCAAGAAGUUUAUCUGUUUAUCUUUUUGAAGAUGAUUGGGAACAUGCUUUUAAAAAUCCUGUACAAUUUCACUGAGAGAUGGGAGAAACCAUUCCAGCUGGAAUUCUGGACAACUCCUCAAUCCUAUAGUAUCAAAAGAAACAUGGACAAUACCAUACUUUUCUCCUUAUGUCUUGGUUAGUGCAAUGUAAUCUUAUUUCAAAAGUGAAUCCUAUCUCAGUUCCCCUGAAAGAAAUUGGACAAGUGUGACUGAUGCUUACAAAUCAUGUGAACAAAAUAUGGAAUUGGGAAUGAUGGUCAAAGAAUUAGGGUCUGAGGGCUAUGUCCAAGCCCAAUGCCAUGUGAGAAUCUGGCAAUUACAACAGAGGUGGGUUGUUCCCAGGUCAGCCGAACUGGUAGUGGUGAUUUAGCCUGGGU